GGAGACCACAGUAGUGAUCCAUUUGGGGCUACGUCAUCGAGUUUCGUCACAAACCUACAGUCUUAAUGCGAAUCUCUGCCAUCUUCGUCUCUAUCAGGUGAUUUAGGGUUUAGGAAUAGAGUUUCUGGUUUUGACUAGUUUCUGUUUGGAUUCUGUGCUUUGUUGUGAUGGUUUGUUCUUGUAAUUUUUGGGUGUCAUUUGAGCCAGAGCAUAUUGGCACUCAAAUUGUUGCUUGUAUUCUGGUCAAGGCACUGAUGGCAAUGCCUGCUCUCGAUUUCAACCUUUGUCUCUUCCUAAUUCCAGAAAUAGUGGUUCAUCGAGAUGAUUUUAUGCUGAAUGUGAAACUUCGGCUAUUUGUUCUUAUUGCAAAGCAACCAGCCUUCCACCAGCUUAGAUCAGUUGAGCAACUUGGUUACAUAACUGCUC